rnacentral:rRNA from 1 species
AUUGAACGCUGGCGGCAGGCCUAACACAUGCAAGUCGAGCGGAUGAAGGGAGCUUGCUCCUGGAUUCAGCGGCGGACGGGUGAGUAAUGCCUAGGAAUCUGCCUGGUAGUGGGGGAUAACGUCCGGAAACGGGCGCUAAUACCACAUACGUCCUGAGGGAGAAAGUGGGGGAUCUUCGGACCUCACGCUAUCAGAUGAGCCUAGGUCGGAUUAGCUAGUUGGUGGGGUAAAGGCCUACCAAGCCGACGAUCCGUAACUGGUCUGAGAGGAUGAUCAGUCACACUGGAACUGAGACGAGGUCCAGACUCCUACGGGAGGCAGCAGUGGGGAAUGUUGGACAAUGGGCGAAAGCCUGAUCCAGCCAUGCCGCGUGUGUGAAGAAGGUCUUCGGAUUGUAAAGCACUUUAAGUUGGGAGGAAGGGCAGUAAGUUAAUACCUUGCUGUUUUGACGUUACCAACAGAAUAAGCACCGGCUAACUUCGUG